UAUUUCGAGCUUGGCCGGAGCAAGCUUGCUCCGGCCGGCUUCCGGCGGCACGAUGUUACGCGCGGGUGCCAGGAAUGGGUACGGGGGAGGUGAGGAGUAUGGUGCUCACCUCGGUUGGCGGCAGAGAGCGACGGUGGCGACGGCGGAGCAAACCGAGCCCGCACCAGCUAAGGCUCGGGUUCCACGGGCAAUGGCGGCCACGGCGGCGGCCGUGGAGCUCCGAGACGGCGGAGGAGGGUUUUCGGAGGCCGGAGGGAUGCCUCGGGUGCGGCCCCGAGCGGCGGCGGCGCAGGGAAGGAGUCGCGAGCUNG
rnacentral:lncRNA from 1 species